AACACAUCUAGGUCAUACUUCCAUCAAUCUGCUUCAAGAUGGAACUAUAAAUAAUUCAAACCCACACCGUUACAAAACGCGUAUUGUAAGUCUGCUAAAAAUUACGCCACGAUGCUCCAGCAAGGCGAACACGCAAAUAGCACGUUUAUCAUCCUCCAGAGACGUAAAUCCAAGACAGGGCCGUAACCAGUAGCUGGAGAAAUCCAGAUUUGACAUUGAUUUUUUAAAUUAAACAUUUAUAAAAAAUAUAAAAGUAUUUAUAACUUAAGUUGUUUGUUAUAUCUUUGUUAGUAAACAAGCUCGUUUGGCCGAUGAAUAAAGGGCCCCAAGAAUAACAACGUAAACAAAGAAAAAGAUAAAUAUAAAUACUGCUUGUAAGACUUUACCUAUGUUAAAAAAUGUUGCGCGCGUAAUUAAUGCGUUCGCGUCACGUUACAGAAAAUAGAUUUUGAAAUGUCGCGUAAUUCUUUAAAACAAUGUAGGAGCUCAGUAGUCGCCAGUGGACCGCCCCCGAGAAUACACCACCGACACCACAAUGAAUUCCGCGGAAGGAGUGAAUCUCGUAGCCACCUACUGCAUCCUGCUGCUACUCUUAGUAUCACUCUGGUUGCUGUACUCAGCUUUCUAACACUGUAAUGGCCGAGAAUCAACUCAAGAAAUGAGACCAAUGGCCGAGAUGGGCAUGGAGACAGAACAUGUACAUUAGUAUAAGAAACCGUAAUUUUAGUAAUAAGGUUUAAUUUAAGCGAUGUUAUUUACAAGCAUUUAUUAAGACCAAACUCAGCAGCUCACAAACCACAAAAACUACGUCAAAGAUAGACACAGAAACAACAAUAAAAAAAAAACACAGAUCAUCGAAGGAACUUGAAGGUUGAAGAAUAAUUUGAAAAUGGAAACACAGAAGAAAAUAAUUUUGGAAAACAAGUAAAAAUAGAUGUUUACCCAUGUAAAAGAAGUGAACCAAAUCGUUGCUGGGCAUUCCAAAGUAUUUAUAAAGACAACAGUCGAAUGAAACAACCAAAUAUUAUCUUUUGGUGCCAAACAUCUGUUAUUUAUAUCGUUGUUGUAAAUUAAGGGUUUUGUAAUAAAGAUCUUCUUUUUUA